GAUGGGCCAUGGAUGCUAGAGACAAGGUGGGCGGGCUGGAACGGUGAUGAAGAUGACAAGAUCCAUUGCAGUGUCUUAAGGUUUUGAGUUAGAGGAGAGGUGGGGGAGGGUUUAGUGCUGGCAGAAGCAUCGGGUGGUGCCAGAGAAAUUUUGUAGAUGGGAUUCGAGAUCUGUUGUGGAUGCAGCAGGUAGAUGCAAGACAAGAAGGGUGGGAUCCAGAAAGAAGAAACGGAGGCUGGGUCCGGCGU
rnacentral:lncRNA from 1 species